rnacentral:lncRNA from 1 species
CCAGCUUUGUAUUGAAGUAUCCUUUUCACUGCCUUUAAUUACUGUAGUGAAAACAUAUAUUUGAAUUGUUGAUGGGCUAUAAUGAAAUCAUUAAUAUAUGAGUUGAGGGAUGACAUUUUGGAUUUUUGGGAGCCUUCGUGCUUGCCUCUUUUUUUCCAUUGACAUUACAAUGCAAGUCUCACUAUGUGCCUACCAAAAUCAUAAUGACAACACGUCAAAAAUAUAUUAUGAUGGGAAUAAGAUCUGAAAAUUAUUAGAAAGUAUUAUGCAGAACUUUUUUGUAAGCAUAUGUGCCACGAGUAUACGAGCAAAUGGUCUAAUAGCAAAGAUAAUAAACUAUAUAUUGAUUUUUCCUUUGCCCAUCAAAUAGCCAUGUGAAAUUAUUACACAAUUUCCUAGUAAUAAUUGGAAUUCCUGUAUUAGUUUUGCCAUGAAGCAUGUGGGCACAAUGGUUCAUGACUAUUUUUUUAUAUUAGAACAUAUUAUCACUCGGCAUAGAUCAAAUUUCAAACAUAACUACUAUAAACUAGGUUCAGGAAAUGGCUAAGUGGACAGAAGAGUAGGUAACUCACUAAUUUGGUUGCGCGUCAGACCUAUAUAGGCGAAAUGAGCUAGGUCUAAUAGUGAGGCUUGGAAGGCCACAUUUGACCAAAUUUAAGGAACUACAAACGUAAUCUUGUCCACCAGCUAGCUUGGCUGCCAUCCCGGCCAGAGCAUAACAAAAUGGACUAGUGGUCACUAAUAUUUUCUACUUUCUCGGUUGACAUAGGUGAUGUGGGCGUUACCGAUAUUACCCACAAGGCAGCGGAUGGGACAAGCUGGGGAUUCGUUCGUUCUAGAGCUUGAACUAAUCUCAGCACUAGUGUAUGGCUUCAUGAUACCUUCCAAUCCAAUUACACUAGUAUGUAUGUCUCCAAAACAAGAGAGUUUCUAUAGCUAGCAUAAAGGUACAAACCAAUUGAUAAAGGGAAGUGCGCACAGAAGGCAUAGGAUGCCAGUAUAUGUACAUUUUCUUGCUCCAUGCUCGUUUUAAACGGUGGCCUGGCUGUUUUCAAUCAUGUAUUAAAUGGUUUUUCUGCCACGCUAUAUAUGAGGAAUCAUAAUAAAUAAUGAAUGAGGCUAUUUUGUUGCUUCUGUUUAAUAAAAUCAUAAAAAAUUAAUGAAUGUAGUCCCUCCUUUCAGGUGCAUAGGACAUGUACGGAGCUGCAUCUUAACCUAGGUGCGUGGAGAGUGGAUGAAGAAUUCUAAACCAAAAAUCAAUAGCAAUAAUGAAUCCUAUUUGGCCCACUUGAAAAAUCGUGAGGGGCCAAUCACUAGGUUUGUUUUCUAUGUCAUUAAUUUCUAAAAAUCUACAUGCAAAUCUAUACCUAUACUAAUUCUAGACUCCCUCUAAAUUCUCACAUUAAUCAGAUUUUACGAACUGUUAAUUUGGUGUGACCAAAUUAUAACGGUGUAGAUUAGCCCAUUUAAUUUUUACAUUAUUAAUCAUAAAAGAAACCUGUAAAAAAAUCUCUAAUCUCACAUCCACGUGACCUAGCCCUAACCCUCCCUACGUACUAACUUCUUCCAAGAUCCGAUCCCCCUCCCUCGCCUUCUUUCUCCCUUUGCUAUCAAGGAAAGAAAAAACUGAGCUCCCAAUCAAUCUGGCUGCGACGACAUCAAUAAGGCAGCGAUCAUAGCGCCUCACGAAUCACACUCCGAUUGGUCGAGCAGCUAGGACGAGAAGCCUCCUUUUUGUGAUGUUAGCCUCUCCCCUAUGUGUUGAAUUAAUCUGGGAAAAAAGCAAGACUUGGAUAUACAUGACGUACUUCAAUCCUGCAUUGAUGCACAUUGCUCUGAGAAAAUCAACGACUCUCUCUCAAAAAGCCAUGGUCGUUCCACCUUCUCCCAGAUCCCUUCCUCUCCAACCUUUGAAUCUGCAAAGCUUCAAGUUCGAUUAGGCAAACCAUGUGUUGAACUAUUGUCUAAGAAAACACCUACGUAUAGGUAACUAAUUUCUUUUGAUGGAUUACUCACUAAGUAACAGGAGCAUCUUGCCGUUUCAAUUUCUCCAACAGAACCAGUAGGCCACCGAAGUAUGCCUCACAUAUAUAUAUAUAUNNNNNNNNNNNNNNNNNNNNNNNNNNNNNNNNNNNNNNNNNNNNNNNNNNNNNNNNNNNNNNNNNNNNNNNNNNNNNNNNNNNNNNNNNNNNNNNNNNNNNNNNNNNNNNNNNNNNNNNNNNNNNNNNNNNNNNNNNNNNNNNNNNNNNNNNNNNNNNNNNNNNNNNNNNNNNNNNNNNNNNNNNNNNNNNNNNNNNNNNNNNNNNNNNNNNNNNNNNNNNNNNNNNNNNNNNNNNNNNNNNNNNNNNNNNNNNNNNNNNNNNNNNNNNNNNNNNNNNNNNNNNNNNNNNNNNNNNNNNNNNNNNNNNNNNNNNNNNNNNNNNNNNNNNNNNNNNNNNNNNNNNNNNNNNNNNNNNNNNNNNNNNNNNNNNNNNNNNNNNNNNNNNNNNNNNNNNNNNNNNNNNNNNNNNNNNNNNNNNNNNNNNNNNNNNNNNNNNNNNNNNNNNNNNNNNNNNNNNNNNNNNNNNNNNNNNNNNNNNNNNNNNNNNNNNNNNNNNNNNNNNNNNNNNNNNNNNNNNNNNNNNNNNNNNNNNNNNNNNNNNNNNNNNNNNNNNNNNNNNNNNNNNNNNNNNNNNNNNNNNNGUGUGUGUGUGUACAAUUCAAAAAGUGGCAUGAAGAUAAUCAUCAAGGGUAUCAACCGCCAAUGUCGUCCGCUCAGUUCCUCACAUAAGAACUGAUGUAUUUAGAUCCUUAGAGGUAAUAUAUUGCUUGUAGUCCCUUCACAGAAUAGAGGAAAAGUAACUACUUUGAGUCUUUACUCUCUGUCCAAGGUUUGUAGAUUCUUAAACUUGGUUGAUGCUUUGAGUCUUUACUCCUACUCUGUUUAAUCAAUUUGUAACUUGCAUGUAUUUGAAACAAAUGAAGGCACAAUAAGAUGGAUUAACUCUGUCUAUGUUGAACUGAUGUACAUGGGUGUGUUUAUAUACACAGAAGUACAGCGAGAGAGAGGAGGGAGUUACAACAGAAACCAUGGCACCCACGCCGUGCAUGCAUGUGAGAGGGAAGCCGACGUGCGUGGGAGCUAUCCUGUGUUGGACUCGCUCCUGAGAGUUAUCCUCAAGCUGACGGUGGGGCUGGAUUAUGUUCCCAACACCCCCCCCCCCNCGAAAUGUGGUGUUCGUCGACGUUUAGGCUGGAACGGAAAUCGACGAAAACACGAGUAGGCAACCCCUUCGUGAAGAUGUCCGCGAACUGAGAUGACGUAGGGACAUGGAGGACACGUACUUCGCCGAGAGAGACACGCUCCCGAACGAAGUGAAGGUCGAUCUCCACGUGCUUCGUGCGCUGGUGCUGGACGGGGUUGUUGGACAUGUACAUGGCGCUGAUGUUGUCGCAGUAGACCACAGUGGCGCGAGGCGGCGGCCGGCGGAGCUCCGUGAGAAGCUGCCGCAACCAGCAAGCUUCAGCGACGGCGUUGGCGAUGCCUCGAUAUUCAGCCUCCGCGCUAGAGCGGGAGACAGUGCUCUGCCGUUUUGAAGACCAGCUGACAAGGUUGUUGCCGAGGAAGACAGUGAAGCCGGAUGUGGACUUGCGGGUAUCGCGGCAUCCCGCCCAGUCUGCAUCUGUGUAGGCCGCCAGGUCGCUGCUGUCAGAGCGGAAGAAGUGCAGGCCGAGGUGGGUAGUCCCUCGAACGUAGCGGAGGACCCUCUUGACCAUCUGGUAGUGAGCCUCCCGGGGAUCAUGCAUGAACAUACAACAUUGUUGAACAUCAUAGGACAGAUCGGGGCGCGUAAGAGUGAGAUACUGGAGCGCUUCGGCGAGGCUGUGGUAGAGUGGUGGGUCGUGGAAGGAAGGCCCGGUGGCAGCGGAGAGCUUGGAGGUGGUGUCGACUGGGGUGGAAACCGGCUUGCAAUUUGGCAUGUCGGCGCGCUCGAGGAUCUCCAGGGCAUACUGCUCCUGCGAGAGGUGGAGACCGUCGGUGGUGUGAUGGACAUUAAUUCCCAGGAAGUGGUGGAGGGAUUCCAUGUCGGUCAUGGAGAACUCACGAUGGAGAGAGGAGAUGAUGCGAUGUAGGAAGGCGGUGUUGCUGGCGGUGAGGAUUAUGUCGUCGACAUAGAGGAGCAGGAAUGUUGUGUCUGUGCCGCGGUGGAGGGAGAACAGCGAGGAGUCCGCCUUGGAGGCAGUGAAGCCGAGGGAGAGAAGGUAGGACGUGAAGCGAGCGAACCAUGCGCGGGGAGCCUGCUUGAGGCCGUACAAGGAGCGGUUGAGGCGACAUACGUCGCGCGGCCGCGCAGCGUCGACGAAGCCGGCUGGUUGUGUGUUGUAGGCCGUCUCAGCGAGAUGCCCAUGGAGGAAGGCAUUCUUGACGUCGAGCUGGUGGAUGGGCCACGAGCUGCCGGCGGCAAGACUGCGGACGACGCGAAUCGUGGCGAGUUUGACGACGGGACUGAAGGUCUCGCCGUAGUCAACCCCAGCCUGCUGUGUGAACCCGCGAAGCACCCACCGCGCCUUGUAUCGUGCGAGAGUCCCGUCGGGGUUGAACUUAUGCCGGAAGAUCCACUUCCCGCUCACCACGUUCGCACCUGCAGGACGAGAAACCAGCGACCAAGUGUCAUUCCGUAACAACGCGUUAUACUCCUUGAGCAUGGCAGCGGCCCAGUUCGGAUCCUGAAGAGCUACACGGUAGGAGGAGGGUAUGGGGCUGACGGACGGUGAGACGGUGAGGUUGGCGUGCUGUUGGGUAGGAAGAAGCCAGACUUGGCACGCGUGUGCAUGGGGUGCAGAUUGGCAGGCGGGCGGACGGGAAUGGCAUGAGGUGGGAGAGGGCGCGGAGCCGACGACGGGCUAGCAGUAGCGGCGGGAGCAGUAGAGGCGGCGUCAGGGGCGUCUGCGAGUGGUAGAGCUGCAUGCGAGACGGAAGGAGGACCGGGGAUAGCCGGCGAGAUGGGGGGAGUUGCAUGCGAAAGUGUAGGGGAGGUGGGGGAUGCAUGCGAAAAGGGAGGAGAGGUGGGUCGAGCGGCCGACGCGGGGACGCGCGAAGCGGUGGUUGAGGUGGGGCGGGAGGUGUGGUUAGUUGGGGGGCAACUGGGGCCGGCUGGCGCAACGGAGUGGGCGCGGUCUGCUGUGCGGAUCCCGGGGCCGCAGUUGCUGCCCAGGACGAGGUAGGCAGGAUCUGGGGGUGAGCGAGAUGGGGAACCGGGGCUGGUGGAGUGGGGCCGGGGAGAUCUGGCGGAGGAGAUGUGGCUGCAAAGUGGAAGGUGCGCUCGUAAAAAGUGACGUGGCGAGAGAUGUAGACACAACGGGUGCGUAGGUCAAGGCACCGGUAGCCUUUGUGCUCGAGGGGAUAGCCAAGAAGAACACAAGGGUUGGAUCGUGGCGCAAGUUUGUGAGGGGCUAAGUGGGUGAGGUUGGGGAAGCAAAGACAACCAAAAACGCGUAAGUGGUCGUAGGUUGGGUGAAGGCCGUGGAGAAGGAAGAAUGGGGUGAGCUGGUUGACGGCGGAGGAGGGGCGGCGAUUGAUGAGGUGGUUGGCCGUAUGAAGAGCCUCGACCCAAUAUUCGGGCGGCAUGUGAGCGUGAACCAAGAGCGUGCAGAGGACGUCGUUGGUGGUGCGAAGGAGACGCUCAACCUUGCCAUUUUGCAGGGAUGUGUGUGGGCAGGAGAGGCGGAAGGAGACGCCGAGAGAGGAGAGGUAGGAACGAAGAGUGUGGGAGAGGAACUCCCCGCCGUUGUCACAUUGGAUGCACUUAAUGGUGAGGUUAUAUUGGGUGUAGUCGUACGCGAAAAAACGUUGAAGGGUGGCCGCUGUGUCAGAUUUGUGGCGGAGGGGAAAAGCCCACGAGUAAUGCGUGUAAUCAUCGAGCACAAUGAGGUAAUAUUGGUAAUCGGAAAAACUGCAAACAAGGCAGGUCCAUAAAUCACAAUGGAUAAUAUGAAAAGGUGCGGUAGUAUGCGAGAGGGAUUUAGGGAACGGUAAACGUGGUUGCUUGCCGAUUUUACAAGAUCCACAUAUCUCAGAACUAGGCAGAUUAUUACAUGAAUCAAGGAAAUUGUUUGCUAAAAUAGAAAGAGAGGCACGGCUGGGAUGACCGAGCCACAGAUGCCACAAAUCGCCGGAGCUGGAAAUGGAGAGUGCGAGCGCGCCGUCUUGGGUCGGAAGAAACGGGUACAGAUCGUCGGAGCUAGUGGACCUCAUGAUGAGUCUCCCCGUUGCUAUGUCCUUCACAGAGAAACCAAAGGGGUCAAAUGAGACAAUACACCAGUUGUCACGAGUAAAACGUCGAACAGAAAUGAGGUUUUGGAUAAUAUGAGGAGAGACUAAGAUGUCAUUUAGGUGGAAGGGAGGGAGGGUGGUUGAACCGGUAGCAACAACAGGAAGGGUAGAGCCAUUGCCGACGGUAAUGCUCGAGGGAAAACGCGUGGAGGCGGAGGACCGGUCGAGGUUACCUGAUGAGCCGGCGACGUGGGAGGUGGCUUCGGUGUCCAUGUACCAGUCGGACCCGGAGGGUGGUUGCGGCAUGUUGGCGAAGGCAUGGGCCAUCAUGGCCUGCUGGUCCCACUGGGGCGCGGACGAGGAGGAGCCGACGACGGGGUACGCCUGGUGAGGAGCGGGAGGUCGAGGACCGAGAACGCCCGCGGCGUUGGGCGGCGCCCAGGUGGCACGCCACUGCUGCACCGUCGGGAGCGGAGCGCCAAACGGGGCGAAGUACCCCAUCCAGGGCUGCUGCUGCUGCGGCCCGACACGUCCCGCACCACCGCUGGAGGAGGCACCGGGGUGACCGCGGCCGCGGCCGCGACCACGACCACCGCGUUGACGAUCGCUGGAGGAGUUGUUGGAGACCAGCGUUUUGCCCUUGUCGGCGGGAGCAGGUGGAGGCGUACGGUCGCCACCACCGAAGGAGGGCCCGCCCCCGGAAGAGGACCCCGCAUGGCCGACAGAGAGAGCCGUAGCGCCGAUGGCUCGCUCCCGUUCGAUGACAGGGAUCUCCUCCAGGAGCAGCCGCGACCGAGCCUGUAGGAAGGUCGGGAAGGGCUGCUGCAUGGGGAGGAGAGUGGCCAUGACAUGGAAGCGACGCCUCAGCCCCCCGAUGAGCUGGAUAGUGAGGGAGCGGUCGGAGACCUGUUCGCCUACAUCGGACAUGGCGGCAGCGAGUUGUUGUAGACGGCGGCUGUACUGGGCGACAGUCAUGUUGCCCUGGAUGGUGGCGCGGAAGUCGGCGCCGAUGUGGACGGCGCAGCCAGCGGCGUUGUCCCGAAAGAAGAUCUCCAGCUGCUGCCAGAGGAGGAACGCAGUGCUCUCUGGCGUCUGGAUGGUGUCGUAGAGUUCGUUGGAGAUUGUCGCGUAGAUCCACAGGAUGAUGGUGAUAUCGUCGUUGCGCCAGACUGCGUUCUCGCGCAGAGGUUCGACGUCGUCGAGGAUGUGAUCCUCCACCCGGUACUUGCACAAAACGAACCAGAGGAGUUGCCUCCACUUCGAGUAGUUGCCGGAGUCAGGGAGAGUUUGAAGGGGAUGUAGCAGGCGAUGUUGACGUGGUGCAUAGACGGUGGUGGGGCGAGGGGAACCUGAGGAGGAGCGAGGGCGAGGGCCCGAGGUUCGGGUUGCAGGACCCGCAGGGGGCGCACCGCGAUCGCAGCGGCGGGAGGAGGGUGGCGCAGAGCGCGGGCGUUGGGGGAAGCGGGCGUCGCGGUGACGGGGGAAGCAGGCCGGGCGACGGGCGCUGGUGGGGCCAGUGCUGGCUCGGGGGCGAUGCAGGGAAGGACGAAGGGAGCGUCGGCGUCCCCGAGCAAAUGAGUGCGAUGGAGGGGACGUCGGAAACUCAUGGCGGAAGCGAGGAAGGGAUUGGUGGACGUCUGAUACCAAGUAAGAUGGAUUAACUCUGUCUAUGUUGAUCUGAUGUACAUGGGUGUGUUUAUAUACACAGGAGUACAGCGAGAGAGAGAGAGGAGGGAGUUACAACAGAAACCGUGGCACCCACGCCGUGCAUGCAUGCGAGAGGGAAGCCGACGUGCGUGGGAGCGUGGGCGUGAGGCGCCGUGGGACUCGCUCCUGAGAGUUAUCCUCGAGCUGACGGUGGGGCUGGAUUAUGUUUCCAACAGGCACAAUUAGAUUUUCUUACUGGACAUUAUUCAUAUUAACUUUUUUACAAGGAUUAUUGAGUGGUGCAGAGCUGCAGGAUGCAUCUUUGGUGACAUUUUUAGUGCAAUUUCAACAUUGUGGGAAAAUAUGGUGAGUGCGAGAUUGGUAAUCAACGGUUCAUUCGUUGGCUUUGAGUCAAGAUGUAGAUAUGUGUCCGCAGCUGCUGCAUUAGCCACACAAGAUGAAAAUGCAGGAUUAGUGGCCACCGUGUCCGUGUUUUUAUUUACCCACGUUCCUCCAUAGCCUGAGGGGACAUAUGAAGUGUAAUCAUGCUCGACAGGAUAUGCGGAACAUCCUGGUAGCUGAGUGUGUGUUCAUACAUCAGCCUCGACCCCAUGCCCAUGAUGGGUACCUGUGAUAGCUUCGCCCACUACUGUAGUACACAAGUUUCUUUGGUGAGCGUGUAACCUGCUUCCGUCCAGUUCAAUCGGCAAAGAAAAGCACGAUCAUUGUACAUACAUGUGGAGGUAUGAAUCAUAUAUGCACAAUGAUACUACUACUGUAUAGGAAUUUUUUACUAUGCAUUACUAGCACAAUCACAGGCCUAUGAAUAAACUGAAGCAUGUGUCAGUUUCUCUAGGGGGCGGAUACAUACCACAGCAUGUAGAGAAAUACAUCCAUGGACCCCAAGCCUUUUCAUGAUGACCAGUGAACCUUUCUACCAGUUAUUUAGCUCUAUGUUUUGCCAAUAGUACUAUUGACUCUAAAGAAAUAUUCAUACUAAUUAAGAAAACAUAUGAUCCUGACAUACAGGAGCUCUCGGUAAACUGAUUACUCCUAUCAUCUGUCGCAGGUUCGUCGCUUAACCGGCUGCAUUUUCAUAUACCACAGCUGGAGCAUGGCCAUAUAGUUGUAUCGCUGAUCUCCGUUACUUGAUCAACUUUCUUUCUAACGAUAUACAUGACAUACCCAGUGAACUUAUUGGUCACAUCAUCACAUGCAGAUUGUCGCUUCACCAGCUGCCUCCACGGAUAUUACAAACCUUAGUCCAUCGAAUUGCAUGCAUGGCAGAAGCCUAGAUGAACUAAUCCAAAUUUGUGCAUGACUGCAUGCAUGUAUGGGGUACUCACAGCUGUCUCACUCUCACAUUUGGUUUUUUACAUUUAAGGUAUAUAUGUAUUACAUGUGCAAACAGCACACUGAGCUUAUAGACAAUUAAUGGGAGCAUGAAAGUUAGGUAAUUCCACAUACUUUAAUCUAUCUCGCUUAAUCAUAUUUACACAUCUUGAAUAGGAAAAUCUGUGCAAUACUAUAACAGUAUCAGGCCACUAUACGUAUUAAAGAAAGGAUUAACUGAAGUGCUAUUUAUUCAUAACACUUAUUACAGUUUAUUCCAUUUCAUUUAAAACAUAUGUCUACUUGAGCGUGCGUGUUUCUACUGAGUGUACUAUCGUAAAACCAUACUACUAAGUGUAUCUGAUAUUGAUGAUGAUUUAAGAGUAAAGACUAGAUUUCUGUACUUGCAAGGAUUAAUGUCCUUGAGAGCCAAUAUGGCCACCUAAAGAUGCGUCUUAUGGGUGCCCGAGAAAAGAGAUACACAAGUUCACUCAUUGCAUAUAUAUUACAUACAGCAUAGACGAGUCUCAUGUUCCUCCGCUUAUGGACUUCGUUUGACGCUAAAGCAAUUAUGUCAUUCCACCAGUCGGAAACUCACAACGUUUCAAAUUCGACGACAUACUUUGUAAGAUUAGCUCUAAAUCCAUUGGUGUAAGCGGGUACACAAAAACCAUGUGUUUCCUUUGAUUAAAAUUUAUGUUUGCAAGCCAAUAAAAACAAAUAAUUAAUUUCAUAUAACAAAUAACAACAUAAUUGUAUUUUUAAUAGUUUUUGCAAAGUGAAUAUCCUUAAUGGGCUAGCCCAUGCGAAUGCACGGGUUGACGACUAGUGCUAUUUAAUGCAUCAGCCAAUGAAAAUAGCAGCAUGCAAAAUGAAAAUUAAUAAACACAGGAAAUAAGAAACUAUUUUCAUGCAUUGUGACUUAUAUAUUUGAAAUGCUAAAUUUUCGUUAAAUGCCUUAUGCACCUGGACGAAGGGAGUAGUGGUAACCUGGAAUGUACAAGUCCUUUGCACACAAAAUAAAAUAGUUAUUAACACCAGCCACUCGCACGUGAGGUCAUGUGUCCUUAAUGCACAUGGGGCUGUGUUACCCAGGCAAGGUCAUGGGCCUCGCGUGGUUGCCCUUGCUCGUGAUGAGGGAGCCUUGGUCUCAUCACUAUCUGUGCGGCUACUCAUCCCGUCCAUGUGAUUUCUAGUAGAUGUGUCUUCAGCUAAAGUUAGUCUGGCAAAGUGACCGCGGUGGGCCUCGUGAGUUUAACCUAGUUUAAGCUAAACUUCGGCUAAAGUUGACGCUGAUGGUGCACGGUUCAGUGGAUUGGCAGCACGGUGAUUUUUGUUAGCUGUGUGCGGGUGUCUUGUGGUGCAGAGGCUCCAAGCGAGGGCUUUCUGGCGCUUGUCGACCGAUGACGGUGAUGCCCAUGGGCGUCAAUGUCUUUCGUGGAGACGUCGUUUAGGAGUACAAACCCCCAGGCCACUAGAAUGAACCACCUUGACUCGUGCACCACGAGAUCGAGCCCACCAGGCCAGAGCACACAACUGUCAGGAGCAGUUAACACAGAUGUCGGCCCACACACAGAGGACAAUUGGCCAGAUCCCACAUGGAUCGGGACCUCGCUGGUAGAGAUCAUGGAACAUCUUCUAUUGGUUAAUGACUAGUUUUUUAUGACCUAUGUGGACACAAUGGUUAAUGACUAGUUUUUCCAUGACCUAUGUGGACACAAUGGUUAAUGACUAGUUUUUUAUAUUAGAAAAUAUGUUCACUCGUAUUAGAUCAAAUUUUAAACUUAACUACUAUAAACUGGGCUCAGGAAAUGAGUGCAUGAAAAGAGGAGUAAGGAACUCACAAAUUCGGUUGCGCAUCAGACCUGGUCAGAUGGGCGAAAUGAGCUAGGUCUAAUAGCUAUGAUUGGAAGGCUACAUUUGACCAAAUUUAUAGAAGCACAAACGUAACUUGUUAACUCAGGUCACUAAACAAUGUAUCUUAACAAGAACACUUUAAUUAAACGUCAACUCAUCUUGUUUGAGUUCAAGCUGAGUUAGGACGACUCACGAGGCACUCGUUUAGCUUGUUACAUUUUAGUUUUUGCUCCAUCCCUACACGUGACACCUCUCAAGCUAGAGCAUGCGAUGUAACCAGUGUUGUCCAUGCCAGACAGCUCCGCAUCCGGUGCAGUGCGGUCAAUCGUGAUGUUUAAAAGGGGUAGUAAGAUGCAGCUCUCAUGCAGAUAACUAGAAUUGAUAACUAUUGGCUACGAACCUGUGAAGUUAUUCCCUUUUUCUGGUCGGUUUUUUGCCCGUUCAUCAAUUUGCACAAAUCUUGUAUGGGAAAAUAGAUGUGGUUCUGCGAAUACUAGUGGACCGCUCCAACUUGUCCGAGGAGGAUUUUUUAUUUGAUAUUUUACUUGGCCUGAAAGAGUGAAAGUCUCGGCAGGAAACCGAGCUGAUGGUGGCUGCCAGAAAUUAAGUUUCAAAAUGUGCAGGCUGCCUUUCAAGAUAAUGGUUGAGGUGUUUUUGCCCCCGAAGAAGGAAAAUCAACAUAGCUGAUGUUAAGUACGUCUUCAAACACUGAAUAUAAACUACUAAAUUCACUACAGAAAAGUCACACUGGAUACGUUCAAGAACUAAAGCAAAAUAAAGGGGUCAUGAGCUGAAAAUAGAGAUAAGUUUUUGAUUUUGUGUCAAGACAAGCAAGCACUUUGUGUUGAGAAUGCUUGAUUCUUAGAGAACUACCAACAUUAUUGAAAUCUUGCAAUGUUCUCCUGCAAAGAAUAUUACCCUUCAAAUUUAGACAAGUGCAACACGUUUUCUUUGCUCCAUCUUUUUAACUUGCUUGAAAUUCUAAACUACAAAAAACUGUUCAUUCAACUAUUAAACACAUGUACCAUUGCAAACCACGACAAAGGCCAGUUGAGCAUGCACACAAUUAAACAGCAACUAGUCGCCGCACGGGCUAGUUUAGUAAUUAAUAUAUAUGGAAAACCUAAGACCAUGUAUAACUUUUGAAUCUAGUUUAUAUCGUGACACAUGUGGAACACCUUAUAAUCUCAAGAGAAGUAAGUGGAUAUGAGAUAAAAUACAAAUUCAUAAGUUAUCCUUAUAUGUGUGCAUCUCUAUUUUUUCUUCUAGUGUUCCCUUGUCCAUUCACCGAAAGAUACCAUGUUAUACUAUUUGGAACAAAAGAGAGGCCCCACCUUAAUCAAAAAGUUUAAUUUCAAUUCUUUAGUAAAACAGUCAACCACAUAAGAAUUGUGGAGAGAAAGAGAAAAAUCUGAUAGAUAAUGCUACAAUCUUUCAGAAAAUAACAGCCAAACACACCAUAAGAAUAUUCUAAAUCACCAUGAGAUCUGUAUGAAGUACAAUGUCCAUGAACGGCAUCAACUUAAAACUAUAGGCACAUUGGUACAUAUAUAAUGAGGAGGACAUGUUAAUUGUGGUGACUAUCAACCAUAUAAAUGGACAUAUCAUCGCCACACUAAAUGGUGAUGAGGUUGCCACUGGUUCUGUGCUAAAACAUCUUUGCUGGCAGGAGACUUCUGAUAUUUGUGAAAUAUAGUACCAAAAAUAAGUUUUUGUGCCUUCUUGCAUUUCACAUGUCAGACUAUUGUGAUUUUACUUAUUAGAUCAUGCUCAGAUCAAAUAAAAUAAAACUACCUGAUUAACUAUAGAACCUGGUGAACAAAAACAAAUGAUUCAGGUAUAACUCUGAAUGAAGACCCGAUAAACUAUAGAACCUGAUGAGUAAACAAACGAUUCAGAUAUAACUAUAGAACAUAUUUACAUGCGAACCGACAAAAAUUGCAUUCACACCUUAAUCUUGCACCUAACCAUUAUAACUUUUACGCCUAUUCAUGCCUUCUAUUUAACUAAGGAUGAGAGAAAUUCUACGGAUAUAAUUAGUAAAUUAACAUCAAAAGCAUACAAAAGGAGUUAGUACAACACAUACCUAUUCCGCCAGAAGUUACGACAAUCUCUGAUCUGACCACAUAUUGUCUUGAUACAUAGAUCAGACGUGUAAGCCUGGAUUGUAUAUUAAACUGCACAUACAUGCAAACAUACACAGUCAGCGCUGAGUAUAUAUACUACCACUGUUGCUGGAUGAAGUGGUAGUAUUCCUGUGUAUUUGUUACGUUAUGAUAUUCUGUCCCCAGUGAAGGCACACUUUGUACACUGUUGUUUGACAUCACCAUGAUUAGAAGCAGAAUAGGCAAUCAUUCGGAAACGUGAACAUUAGAUUGAAAGAAGAUUCACAUGUAUGUUAUUGGUACCUUCAUUGGGAGACGUUGCUGUGUACUCGCAUAUGACUUUCAAAUGAGAUGAGAAGGAGCGCAGAAGUUCUAUUUAUAGAAGAAUCAGAGAAGUUGAUGGUAGGACUCCACGCUAGCCAUGAUGUGUGGUGCACAAUCCAGCCAGUCAGGUGGUUGAUGAAUUUUCAAAAGGUUUCUUCUCGUUUUUUUUGCGGUGGCAAAAGGUUUCUUCUCUAACCUGAUGUUUCAAUAAUGUUUUAAUAAAUGAAGAAAAUGUUGGCAGUGUGAUAUCCAGCAAAAAAUCUGCUCAGUUUUGGACCGGCCAUUAUGCUAGCUAUAUAUAUCACAUGAUCUGGAGAUAACAGACACCAUGAACAUCUAUUCGAUGCCUUAUGAUCUAUCUCGCAACCAACUACAGUUGGUCGUCUCACUGAAGAACUAACUCUUGUUCAUCAAAUUCAAGGCCAAGACAUGGUCAGAACAGUACUGGCAGCAAAGCAAUUAUACAUGUUCGAAAGCCAGGAGGGAGGAGAUUGUAAUUGUAUAACAGAUUGAUGCAUAGAACAUGAGAAGUGGUAUAUUAUGAGGAGAAGAGCAAUCUAAGAAAGAAACCCUGAAAAAGGAACCAAAAUCAUGGACUAUUUAUUAGGAAUAAACAUGAGAAACAUAAACCAGAUCCAAGUAUAAUAGGUGAAAAACGAAUUGAUCUAGAUAAUGAUUGCUCAUGACAGUUCCAUCUCCACGUGAUGCAAGAAGAAACAUUAAUAAAUCUAGACGUGCCGACCUGGUAUGGAAAGAGUCACGGAGUUAUAUGCACAAAUUUUUAGUAGAAAACCUGAGAGAGAUGAGGUCAGGAGAAAGCAUGGAUGACAUACUUGGCAUGACAAAUUGUAAGAUCUAACCUGAGGGUGGUUUGUCUUUAGACAGUUGGUGCUCCUCUCCUGUCGUGAGGUUGUUUGUGUCUAGGCAAGGAGCCAUGCUGGUAGAAGGCGUCAUGUCAUGGGCUAGGUUUCGGAAAUCGCCGCCGGGGAGCUAUAGACGAUGAAGAACUCCCAUCGUAUUGAGAGGACGGUGGCCGCCGAGGACAGCUGGGCUUAUGAGAUCGUGGUUCUUUUUUUUCCUUUGCUGACCUAGAGAAUAGAGGAAGGGGAGUCGUGAGAUAUGAGAUGUGAGAUUUUGGGACGGG